AUGGAGUCUGGGCUGAGCUGGGUUUUCUUUGUUGCUCUGUUACAAGGUGUCCAAUGUGAGGUGCAGCUGGUGGAGUCUGGGGGAGGCUUGAUCCAGCCUGGGGGGUCCCUGACACUCUCCUGUGCAGCGUCUGGAUUCAGCUUCAGCAGCUACAGGAUGAACUGGGUCCGCCAGGCUCCAGGGAAGGGGCUGGAGUGGAUCUCAUACAUCAGUAGUGGUGGUGGUAGCACAUACUACGCAGACGCCGUGAAGGGCCGGUUCACCAUCUCCAGAGACAACAGCAAGAACACGCUGUCUCUGCAAAUGAACAGUCUGAGAGCCGAGGACACAGCCGUGUACUACUGUGCGAGAGACAGAGACUGGCUG